rnacentral:rRNA from 1 species
GAUGAACGCUGGCGGCGUGCCUAAUACAUGCAAGUCGAGCGAACAGAUGAGGAGCUUGCUCCUCUGACGUUAGCGGCGGACGGGUGAGUAACACGUGGAUAACCUACCUAUAAGACUGGGAUAACUUCGGGAAACCGGAGCUAAUACCGGAUAAUAUAUUGAACCGCAUGGUUCAAUAGUGAAAGACGGUUUUGCUGUCACUUAUAGAUGGAUCCGCGCCGCAUUAGCUAGUUGGUAAGGUAACGGCUUACCAAGGCAACGAUGCGUAGCCGACCUGAGAGGGUGAUCGGCAACACUGGAACAGAGACACGGUCCAGACUACUAGGGGAGGAAGCAGUAGGAAAUCUUCAGCAAUAGGAGAAAGCCUGACGGAGAAACGCAGCGUGAGUGAUGAAGGUCUUAGGAUCGUAAAACUCUGUUAUUAGGGAAGAAAAAAUGUGUAAGUAACUAUACACGUCUUGACGGUACCUAAUCAGAAAGCCACGGCUAACUACGUG